rnacentral:lncRNA from 1 species
CCCCUCGCGGCGCACUUGGGAGAACCCCAGUUCCCGGCGGCCCUAGCGGCAGGUUCCCGGCACCGGCCGAGUUCGGGAUGGCGGGUGCAGGUUCUGCUGCAGUGUCCGGGGCUGGGACCCCGGUGGCCGGGCCCACAGGCCGCGACCUCUUUGCCGAGGGCCUCCUCGAGUUCCUGCGCCCGGCUGUGCAGCAGCUGGACUCCCACGUCCACGCCGUCAGGUGCCCGGGGGCCGGCGGGGCGGGCGGGGCGGGGCGGCCUGCCCGGGGAGGCUCCGGGGCCGUGGAGGCGGGGCCGGCUGGUCCCGGUACAGGGGAAACGUGGGCGGCGGGCGCGCUGACCGUGCGGCCUUGCGGCCUUUGCAGGGAGAGCCAGGUGGAGCUCCGCGAGCAGAUCGACAACCUCGCCGCGGGUGAGUGGGCGGCCCGCGGACCCAGGCAGGACCUUCGGUUCCCCGUGCCCGGCCGGGUCUCUGCCCCUUGGCCCCAGGACGUCGGGGCCCUUGGGACAGGGAGUGAAAGGAAGUGGGGGAAGGACGGGACGAUUCCGCCUUCCUAAGAGCAGGAGGUGAGCUGCCAGACGUCUGUUGCUCUUCCGUCCCCAGAAUUGUGCCGCAUCAACGAGGACCAGAAGGUGGCCUUGGAUCUCGACCCCUACGUUAAGAAGCUGCUCAACGCCCGGCGACGGGUUGUUCUGGUCAACAACAUCCUACAGAAUGCCCAGGUAAACGAAGUCCCUGCUUCAAGUCCUCAACACAAUGAGUCACGACUUUUUAAAAAUUGGGGGGAAGGGAGUGGUCAACUAGCGUCAGUAAGACUCAGUGCUCAAUAUCCACUUGCAGCCAUUGACAUCCUACGUGAACUUUGACGCAGGACCGUCCUCAGGUGUUUCCAGCACCUGGCUGGCUGAACCCCAAAGCCUUUCACAGGGGCAGUCACUAGGUUCCACCUCUUCCUGUGUCCUGUAGGAGCGGCUGAGGCGGCUAAACCACAGCGUUGCCAAGGAAACAGCCCGCAGGAGGGCAAUGCUGGACUCGGGAGUUUAUCCCCCUGGUUCCCCAAGCAAGUAACAAGAUGGCAGGGGACUGAGCAGCACAAAUAGUUGUUACCCCGCUGCCUUGUUUCAACACACGAGAAGAUUCAGGGAACAAUUUCUGCAGACUUUGGGACACCUAAACGGUUUAUUUAAAGCACUUUCUCACUUCGUGGGAACCCAAGAAACCUGCGUGCAGUAGACUCAAGUUCCCAGAGGAACUUUCGUUACAGCUCUUGCUCCCUUCCAAGAACGAAAUGAGGUUUUUUUUCUUAACUACAUAGUUAACGCCCAUCUUUUUCAGGCCUCGCCAAUCAGGCUGGAGCUUCGUUUGUUACAUGUCUGGUUAUAGUGGACCCAGGCAACAUGUCCUCUACCUGUGACUUCUCUUUUUCCUUUUGUUUACACGAGGAUUUACAAAGAGAAGAUGAAUGAACUCUGUCCACCCUCUUCUGUUGAUUGCACUGGCUUGAAUACAACAGCAGUACUGCUAGAACCAUUUGAUUCAAUAAAUGCUUAAACAGUAUUCUCAUUUACUGAUGUUUCAAGUUGCGAUCUUGGUGUUUAUGACUCAGUAUCA